AGAGCGAACGCUGGCGGCAGGCCUAAUACAUGCAAGUCGAACGAGCCCUUCGGGGCUAGUGGCGGACGGGUGAGUAACACGUGGGAACGUGCCUUUUGGUUCGGAACAACUCAGGGAAACUUGAGCUAAUACCGAAUGUGCCCUUCGGGGGAAAGAUUUAUCGCCAUUAGAGCGGCCCGCGUCUGAUUAGCUAGUUGGUGAGGUAAAGGCCCACCAAGGCUACGAUCAGUAGCUGGUCUGAGAGGAUGAUCAGCCACACUGGGACUGAGACACGGCCCAGACUCCUACGGGAGGCAGCAGUAGGGAAUCUUGCGCAAUGGGCGAAAGCCUGACGCAGCCAUGCCGCGUGAAUGAUGAAGGUCUUAGGAUUGUAAAAUUCUUUCAGCGGGGACGAUAAUGACGGUACCCGCAGAAGAACGCCCGGCUAACUUCGUGCCAGCAGCCGC
rnacentral:rRNA from 1 species